AUUACAUUUUAUUUUAUACGCAGAGUCGAACAAGAUAAAAUACGGUUUCAUUAACCAAAGCAGAUACUGGCCCCGGAUUUUUUUUUUCAUACUUAUUUAUCUUCUAUAUACAUAUAAAUGCGAUAAUGAAAAUCUUGGACUCGAAUAAUUUUUGGAAAUACUCAUCCAACCAUGGUUCAUUCAUACGGUUUUUUUUAUAAUGAUUAUUUUAAGUAUAACGGGAAGAAGUUAUUUAGUGACAUUUACGUUAAAUUUUUGGCUGGUGGUCUCGAGUUUAAAUUCCGAAUAAGAUAAUUCUUUAAGAUUCUGAGUGGAACG